AACUUUUAACAAUGGAUCUCUUGGCUCUCGCAUCGAUGAAGAACGCAGCAAAAUGCGAUAAGUAAUGUGAAUUGCAGAAUUCAGUGAAUCAUCGAAUCUUUGAACGCACCUUGCGCUCCUUGGUAUUCCGAGGAGCACGCCUGUUCGAGUGUCGUGAAAUUCUCAAGCUGUGAUGCUUUUUUGUGACGCCACUUCGCUUGGUAUUGGGCUUUGCGGUUGUCCCCUUCAUUGGGGACGGGCGGGUGGCCUCGAAUGGAUUAGCUUUGAACCCUGUUGGUGAUGGGUUCUUCUCGGCGUUGUAAGAAUCUAACCGCUGAGCACAUCUGUUGGGAUGUCCAGCUCUCCUAGUGGUUGCUCUCUAAUCUGGAUUGCAGGAUUGCGGGAAUCUUUGCUCCUCCACUUUCAAUUUUGACCUCGAAUCAGGUGGGACUACCCGCUGAACUUAAGCAUAUCAAUAAGCGGAGGCU
rnacentral:misc_RNA from 1 species